UUCAAUUCAAUUCAGUUUUAUUUGUAUAGCGCCAAUUCAUAACGGAAGUUAUCUCAGGACACUUUUCAAAUAGAGCAGGUCUAGACCGAACUCUUUAACAUUAAUUACAGAGACCCAACAGUACCACCAUGAGCAAGACCUUGGAGACAAGGGCAAGGAAAAACUGCCUGUUAAAAGGCAGAAACCUAGGACAGAUCCUCCGGCUCUAGGUGGGUGGUCGUCUGUCUCGACCAGUUGGGGUGAGAGAGAGAGAGAGACAGAGAGAGAGAGAGAGAGAGAGAGAGACAGAGAGAGAGAGAGAGAGAGAGAGAGAGAGAGAGAGAGAGAGAGAGACAGAGAGAGAGAGAGAGAGAGAGAGACAGAGAGAGAGAGA